GACGAACGCUGGCGGCGUGCUUAACACAUGCAAGUCGAGCGGAAAGGCCCUGCUUUUGUGGGGUGCUCGAGUGGCGAACGGGUGAGUAACACGUGAGUAACCUGCCCUUGACUUUGGGGUAACUUCAGGUAACUGGGGUUACUAUCGGAUAGGAUCUCCUGCUGCAUGGAGGGGGUUGGAUAGUUUCGGCGGGUGGGGCUGGACUCGCGGCUGACGAGCUUGCUGGUUGGGUAGUGGCUUACCCAGGCUUUGGCGGAUAGCCGGCAUGAGAGGGUGACCGGCCACAUUGGGACUAAGGUACGGCCCAGACUCCUACGGGAGGCAGCAGUGGGAAAUAUUGCACAAUGAGCGGGAGUCUGAUGCGGAAGCGCCGCGUGCGGGAUGACGGCCUGCGGGUUAUAAACAGCAUUCGCCUGUGACGAAGCGUGAGUGACGGUAAUGGAUAAAGAAGCACCGGCUAACUACGUG
rnacentral:rRNA from 1 species